rnacentral:tRNA from 1 species
GAGGAUAUAGCUGAAUGGUAGAGUACAUGCCUUGCAUGCAUGAGGUCCUGGAUUCAAUCCCCUACCCUCC